CCCUCCCUGUGAGUUCACUGGUGUGUUUGAGGCGAUAUAAACUGACAUCGUUGCAACACUUCCUGUCACUUUAAAGCAGCUCUGUCACCUUUUUAAGUAAAAUAUGACUGGGAGCUAAAACUAUGAGGUUGAUUAUUUGUGAUGGAGUUGUGAUGUAAUCACACUAUGCUUUCUAACUUCCCACAAUACUGCAACCACCCUGGCUAGCUACUAUCCGGCUAGCUGCUAGCUUCACCACACACUUGUCCGCAGCGCGUCAGCGCCGCACUCACAAUGCGUCAGACCACUACCGAAAGUUAAUGCUACAGGUUGGAGCCGCUGUGUUUUUGUUUUUAAGUUUGGAAAAGUUAAUGCUAGGUUUAGGCGUUCAUUUCUAUGUUGCUAUGUGAAAUCAACGUGCGCAGGAAGGAAGUUCGGCUAAUGCUUAAAAGGACCAAAGUAUGACAAACUACUAGUACCGGAGUCUACCACCCAGCCGGGCAGAAGUGCUUGCAGGCAGCGUCGAGAACGUAAACAAAGGUGAAGAAGGCACGGAGGAAUAUGAGCUAAGCUAAGCUACUCCACGUCACCCACAGUAAGGCAACCCAAUAAAAACUGAACCAAAGACCUGUUUUGCAUCCUGGCAGUAAGUUAAUUACCAUCAUCAUCAGCAAUGUCACGCGAGACAUCGGCAAACCUUGUGACACUUCAGCUCACAAAGAAGGGUACCAGUGAUGACAAAGAGGAAAAGUGAGAGAAUGGAACCUUCUGCAUCAUAGUGAAGUCUCUAGCGGCGCAGUACAAUAUUAGCUGAAAGAUGGUCCACAUAGUGCUUACAUUUUUUUGUUUACAUUUGUUGAUAGAGUCAUAUGAUUGUGUGUGCAUACAGUUGAAACACUAAAGUAGACUGUACUGGUGUGUUGUGACCACAAGUGUACAUACAUAGUGUACAUCUUGUAAAUGUCAACAGUACUACACAUUUACUGUCCCACUCCCAAAACCAGAUUUUAAUUUAUUACACCCCGUGUGUGUUUCGGAUUCCUUCAUAGAAUUACUUGAGGUUUUUACAAUUACAGUACUUUAUAUACACACGCACCGGUUGCAAAUAUGACACAGCAUUCCCAGACUAUAGAGCGCCUUAAUGGAACGAUUUAAGUCAUAAAAGGGCCCAGAGCGCAAGAGCGUGAAAU